GGGCUUCCUGAACAGGGGAGGCUGGGAACUCCAACUGCAGGGACUAGAGGGGGAGCUGAUGCCAAUAUUUCCUCCCACCAAUUAGCAUGGACAGAAUUCAGUGAGCAGCACAGCACCCCCCCCCCCCCCCCCCCCCCCCCCCCCCCCCCCCCCCCCCCCCCCCCCCCCCCCCCCCCCCCCCCCCCCCCCCCCCCCCCCCCCCCCCCCCCCCCCCCCCCCCCCCCCCCCCCCCCCCCCCCCCCCCCCCCCCCCCCCCCCCCCCCCCCCCCCCCCCCCCCCCCCCCCCCCCCCCCCCCCCCCCCCCCCCCCCCCCCCCCCCCCCCCCCCCCCCCCCCCCCCCCCCCCCCCCCCCCCCCCCCCCCCCCCCCCCCCCCCCCCCCCCCCCCCCCCCCCCCCCCCCCCCCCCCCCCCCCCCCCCCCCCCCCCCCCCCCCCCCCCCCCCCCCCCCCCCCCCCCCCCCCCCCCCCCCCCCCCCCCCCCCCCCCCCCCCCCCCCCCCCCCCCCCCCCCCCCCCCCCCCCCCCCCCCCCCCCCCCCCCCCCCCCCCCCCCCCCCCCCCCCCCCCCCCCCCCCCCCCCCCCCCCCCCCCCCCCCCCCCCCCCCCCCCCCCCCCCCCCCCCCCCCCCCCCCCCCCCCCCCCCCCCCCCCCCCCCCCCCCCCCCCCCCCCCCCCCCCCCCCCCCCCCCCCCCCCCCCCCCCCCCCCCCCCCCCCCCCCCCCCCCCCCCCCCCCCCCCCCCCCCCCCCCCCCCCCCCCCCCCCCCCCCCCCCCCCCCCCCCCCCCCCCCCCCCCCCCCCCCCCCCCCCCCCCCCCCCCCCCCCCCCCCCCCCCCCCCCCCCCCCCCCCCCCCCCCCCCCCCCCCCCCCCCCCCCCCCCCCCCCCCCCCCCCCCCCCCCCCCCCCCCCCCCCCCCCCCCCCCCCCCCCCCCCCCCCCCCCCCCCCCCCCCCCCCCCCCCCCCCCCCCCCCCCCCCCCCCCCCCCCCCCCCCCCCCCCCCCCCCCCCCCCCCCCCCCCCCCCCCCCCCCCCCCCCCCCCCCCCCCCCCCCCCCCCCCCCCCCCCCCCCCCCCCCCCCCCCCCCCCCCCCCCCCCCCCCCCCCCCCCCCCCCCCCCCCCCCCCCCCCCCCCCCCCCCCCCCCCCCCCCCCCCCCCCCCCCCCCCCCCCCCCCCCCCCCCCCCCCCCCCCCCCCCCCCCCCCCCCCCCCCCCCCCCCCCCCCCCCCCCCCCCCCCCCCCCCCCCCCCCCCCCCCCCCCCCCCCCCCCCCCCCCCCCCCCCCCCCCCCCCCCCCCCCCCCCCCCCCCCCCCCCCCCCCCCCCCCCCCCCCCCCCCCCCCCCCCCCCCCCCCCCCCCCCCCCCCCCUUAAAACUCACAACGCUAUGGACAAAGUUGAAAAACUCUUCACUGGAGGCAAGGAAAACUCUGCAGAGUACUGACCUG
rnacentral:lncRNA from 1 species